AUAUCUACAGCAGACCUACAGUGAUAGACACAAGUCGAUAGCUGGUUCUUGAAGUGUUUCCACCAUGAGACCAAACUACCAUGUGAACAUCCUUCAAGUGUCCAUGUUAGCGGCGCUGUUCUCCACUGCGGAUGCUGACAUGGCGGAAACAUAUAACUGGAUAUUUAUGUUACGUGUUCUUGGGCUUGUGUUUUCCAUCAUAUCGGUGAUUCUAUGUGUUGCAGCAAAAUGUAGGUGUGGAGGAAGAUCCAGGGACGCAGCCGAUCUGAGCCACCAGCCCCCCCAUGAUGCCUCGCAUACCACUCAUAUCUAUGAAAAGGAUUAGCCGAUGUCUGCUGAGUCACUAUAAUUAAUAUAAAAACAUGUCAUUGUAUUCACUCCAAGAUUUUCCCAGGAGGAUCCAGGGACACACCCGGUCUGAGCCGCCAGCCCUCCCAUGAUGCCUUGCCUACAUACAUGUCUACAUGAUGCCUUGGUUUUUAUUGACUACUCCUAUCAAUGAAAACCAUCAGCUGAUGUCUGUGCCUUGAAACCAGUCUGUUGCGCCAGAAUGAUGAAUAUGAAAACAUGUCAUUGUAUUCAUUCCAGGAAUUCCUAACCUGUAACUUGUACCUGAUUUGUGUUUAUCAGCGCUCAUCUUUGGCUUCAUGUAUUUUCAUGUAAUAUGCUUUGGGAAUAAUUGAUUGGCUUUUUUAUGGCCUUAAAAUAAUCAUAUCU